rnacentral:rRNA from 1 species
UAAUACAGGCCGGGGGGAUGACCGUUACCGGAAAGAAUAAGCACCGGCUUAACUACGUGCCCAGCAGCCUCCGUUAAUACGUAGGGGUGCAAGCGUUAAUUCGGAAUUACUGGGCGUAAAGCGUGCGCCAGUCGGUUUUGCUAAGAACCGAAGGGAAAUCCCCCGGGCUCAACCUGGGAACUGCAUUGGUGACUGGCAGGCUAGAGUAUGGCAGAGGGGGGGUAGAAUUCCACGUGUAGCAGUGAAAUGCGUAGAGAUGUGGAGGAAUACCGAUGGCGAAGGCAGCCCCCUGGGGCAAUACUGACGCUCAUGCACGAAAGCGUGGGGAGCAAACAGGAUUAGAUACCCUGGUAGUUCACGCCCUAAACGAUGUCAACUAGUUGUUGGGGAUUCAUUUCCUUAGUAACGUAGCUAACGCGUGAAGUUGACCGCCUGGGGAGUACGGUCGCAAGAUUAAAAAUCAAAGGAAUUGACGGGGACCCGCACAAGCGGUGGAUGAUGUGGAUUAAUUCGAUGCAACGCGAAAAACCUUACCUACCCUUGACAUGGUUGGAAUCCUGCUGAGAGGUGGGAGUGCUCGAAAGAGAACCGGCGCACAGGUGCUGCAUGGCUGUUGUCAGCUCGUGUCGUGAGAUG